AAGUGCUUAAAAAAGUACGCAAGAACUACUAGAUAUAAUACACUGCAAGCAAGGUUACACGCUCUCCGGGUAAAUUCUUCAACUCAUCAUUCAUUGCCGCACCACCCUCAUGCUCCGUACCUGCACUACUAAAUUUUGUUCACCGACAGUUUACGCGCUGUUCCCCUUGUGCAUUGUGACGUAGCUUAUAGUUGUCACGACAAAAAAAGAAACCGGCACUUCUGCCCGAAAGGCCAAGCAUAGCUUGUGAUAGCAAAUUAGGGAACAGCUAUGCGAAGUAAGGAUAGUAAUUUUAUCGGCCGUAUCAACUUUUAAACAUAGGCAUAUUAACUAAAUUAACCGCCAUGGUGUCACGCGCGCACAAGCAAACGCGAACACAUCUCACUCGACGACUGCGGAAACUCGCUUUCAGAACGUUGGAGUGAGGAAGCGCGUCAGCAGCAGCGAGCGAACUGACCUAUGUGUCCGUCUCGCAUCAACGCAAACCAAGCCGCGAAAACACAGCACGUGGUGGAUUCUGUCCCUGUCGCAGAAAGCUUUGAAGCUACAGACGCCCGGGCGCGCGCCGCCGCCCGCGCCGCCCGCAGUAGUUUCGGCGACGCCGGAGGCCCCAUUUCGAACGUGCAUUGUUCACCGCUCUUAUGGGAGACCUGGGCUCUUGUCCUGGUUUUGGUGCCACGCAGCAGAACAUGGUAUCAGCAGCAAGAUGGACAGAGACGUCGCUGUAUGGAAUCAGAAGACCUUUAAGAAGCCUGUUUUGCUGGAAGAAGAUAACAACAUCAAGGAAUUCAGAAAUUCGUACAACCAAUUUUACAGCAAGAACAGUCCGACAUGGCAACAAGUGAAACGAAAGAGCUUGUCCUGGUGAUACGGGGACGACUGUGAAUAGAAGUCAACUCUUUG